rnacentral:rRNA from 1 species
AGAAUCAACGCUGGCGGCGUGCCUAACACAUGCAAGUCGAACGAGAAAGUGGAGCAAUCCAUGAGUAAAGUGGCGCACGGGUGAGUAACACGUGACUAACCUACCCUUGAGUGGGGGAUAACCUAGGGAAACCUGGGCUAAUACCGCAUAAUACCUUCGGGUCAAAGGAGCAAUUCGCUUAAGGAGGGGGUCGCGGCCGAUUAGUUAGUUGGCGGGGUAAUGGCCCACCAAGACUGUGAUCGGUAUCCGGCCUGAGAGGGCGCACGGACACACUGGAACUGAAACACGGUCCAGACUCCUACGGGAGGCAGCAGUGGGGAAUUUGCGCAAUGGGGGAAACCCUGACGCAGCAACGCCGCGUGGAGGAUGAAGCCCCUUGGGGCGUAAACUCCUUUCGAUCGGGACGAUAAUGACGGUACCGGAAGAAGAAGCCCGGCUAACUCGCGCCAGCAGCCGC